rnacentral:rRNA from 1 species
UACGUAGGUGGCAAGCGUUAUCCGGAAUUAUUGGGCGUAAAGCGCGCGCAGGCGGUUUCUUAAGUCUGAUGUGAAAGCCCACGGCUCAACCGUGGAGGGUCAUUGGAAACUGGGGAACUUGAGUGCAGAAGAGAAAAGCGGAAUUCCACGUGUAGCGGUGAAAUGCGUAGAUAUCGGGAGGAACACCAGUGGCGAAGGCGGCUUUCUGGUCUGUUCUUGACGCUGAGGCGCGAAAGCUAGGGUAGCAAACGGG